GAUGAACGCUAGCGGCAGGCUUAACACAUGCAAGUCGAGGGGCAGCGUGGAGCAGCAAUGCUCUGACGGCGACCGGCGGAAGGGUGCGUAACACGUGAGCGACUUGCCCGUCACAGGGGGAUAACCGGCGGAAACGGCGACUAAUACCCCAUACGAUGUGAUGCUGCAUGGCAUUGCAUUGAAAGAUUCAUCGGUGGCGGAUAGGCUCGCGGGACAUUAGCUAGACGGCGGGGCAACGGCCCACCGUGGCGACGAUGUCUAGGGGUUCUGAGAGGAAGGUCCCCCACAUUGGAACUGAGACACGGUCCAAAACUCCUACGGGAGGCAGCAGUGAGGAAUAUUGGUCAAUGGACGAGAGUCUGAACCAGCCAAGUAGCGUGCAGGAUGACGGCCCUAUGGGUUGUAAACUGCUUUUAUAAGGGAAUAAAGUGGGAGUCGUGACUCUUUUUGCAUGUACCUUAUGAAUAAGGACCGGCUAAUUCCGUGCCAG
rnacentral:rRNA from 1 species